GACGAACCGUGCGAACGUUGUUCGGAAUCACUGGGCUUAAAGGGCGCGUAGGCGGGUGCUCAAGUCCGUGGUGAAAUCCUCCGGCUCAACCGGAGAACUGCCUCGGAUACUGGGCGUCUCGAGUGUGGUAGGGGUAUGCGGAACUAUCGGUGGAGCGGUGAAAUGCGUUGAUAUCGAUAGGAACUCCGGUGGCGAAGGCGGCAUACUGGACCACCACUGACGCUGAUGCGCGAAAGCCAGGGGAGCGAACGGG
rnacentral:rRNA from 1 species